GUGAGGAAUAUUGGACAAUGGGUGAGAGCCUGAUCCAGCCAUCCCGCGUGAAGGACGACGGCCCUAUGGGUUGUAAACUUCUUUUGUAUAGGGAUAAACCUUUCCACGUGUGGAAAGCUGAAGGUACUAUACGAAUAAGCACCGGCUAACUCCGUGCCAGCAGCCGCGGUAAUACGGAGGGUGCAAGCGUUAUCCGGAUUUAUUGGGUUUAAAGGGUCCGUAGGCGGAUCUGUAAGUCAGUGGUGAAAUCUCAUAGCUUAACUAUGAAACUGCCAUUGAUACUGCAGGUCUUGAGUAAAGUAGAAGUGGCUGGAAUAAGUAGUGUAGCGGUGAAAUGCAUAGAUAUUACUUAGAACACCAAUUGCGAAGGCAGGUCACUAUGUUUUAACUGACGCUGAUGGACGAAAGCGUGGGGAGCGAACAGG
rnacentral:rRNA from 1 species